UCCGGUUUGGCACCGGCAGUCUCCAAUGAGUCCCCGGCAUUACCCGCUGGCAACAUUGGACAGGGGUUGCGCUCGUUGCGCCACUUAAGGCAACACCUCACGGCACGAGCUGACGACAGCCAUGCGCCACCUGUGCGGGCUCCGUAGAGCACCGUGUUUCCACGGCUUCACCCCGCAUGUCAAGCCCAGGUAAGGUUCUUCGCGUUGCGUCGAAUUAAGCCACAUGCUCCGCCGCUUGUGCGGGCCCCCGUCAAUUCCUUUGAGUUUUAGCCUUGCGGCCGUACUCCCCAGGCGGGGUGCUUAAUGCGUUAGCUUCGGCACGGGGGGAGUCGACACCCCCCACACCUAGCACCCAUCGUUUACGGCGUGGACUAC
rnacentral:misc_RNA from 1 species